rnacentral:lncRNA from 1 species
CAGGAAUGUUCAGAGCCUGUUCCAUUCCCUGGGCUCUUCCACCCAGUGGUUUCAGUUUGUUUUGUUUGUUCUACUGUUACCGCUUGCGCCAUGGGGUAGUGGCUAAUGGAUUUGCUUUCAGUGUUAUCCACAAACACCCCUGGGCAGCUGCUCAGUGGAAUCUGGCUAAAUAAAGGCAAGCCUUUUAGUUCAGUACUGCAGGGAGACAACAGACAGGAUAAACUAAGUGACCACAAUUCCCAGAGUAAGGUCCAUGCUGGUGUUGCUGAAGCUCUGCUCUGCUGCCACUGAGACUGCUGCAUCCACCGAUUCCAGAAAGGCUUUCAGUGAAGUCUGCCUAGAAGAUUCCAUGUUUCCUACUAAUCAUCGACUGUUCUGAAAACCGAUCAAGGUUGGGAAGAAGGCAUGAAGAGGAAGGAGGCUCUAACGUAGUUUUCUGAAAUCCUCAACUCUUCUCUCUGAGGCAUUACAUUUACAUACCCUGGAGCUCUUCUAGGAGCUUCCCUGCAUUUCUCCAAACCUGAUAGACUCAGUGGGUGUGACUUAAUCUGCUCAGACUCCCUUCGUCAGACUGGCCCUGAGUUGGCACUGUGGAUACAGCUGUAGCUGUUGCCUCCCCAUCCACCAGACCUGGAUGUUGGGGGGAGUUCCUGACUGGGCAAACCAGGGCCACCUCUAGCAUAGCCUUUUGCUGGAGGGAGAUGUGCACCCCUUAGUCUACGGGUAUAAUUUCCCACCCCUGAGACAGGCUUGAUAACCUUCACUUGUACUCUUCUGUCACGGGUGUCUUCUGUCAACUGCUCCUCAGGCUUUAAAGCCUUCCAGAAACUCCUUAGCACAUAAUUUGGCUUCCUAUCAGUUCUUUCCUUAGGAGUGCCAGCUCAACAUAAAUCUUGCCAUCUCUGUCUUCUGUAGAAGAAAAUUCUCAGUACUCAGUAAAAUCUGCUUCAUUAUUUCUACCACACACCCAAAAGAAAAAAAAAAUAAGUGCUGCUAAUGUGCUGUUUGAGUUAUAUCAAGUUGACACAAACUCGUACACAUCUGUGAAGAGGAACUCUUAAGUGAAAUAAUGCCUUAGCCUGUAGGGAAGCCUGUGGGGUAUUGUCUUUACUAAUGACUGAUACAGGAGGGCCCAGGCCACCCGGUGCAGGUGGCCCUGGGUUGUAUAAGACACCAGGAGGAGCAAGUCAUGGAGUACAAGCAGCUCAACAGCCAU